rnacentral:rRNA from 1 species
UACAGAGGAUGCAAGCGUUAUCCGGAAUGAUUGGGCGUAAAGCGUCUGUAGGUGGCUUUUUAAGUCCGCCGUCAAAUCCCAGGGCUCAACUCUGGACAGGCGGUGGAAACUACCAAGCUGGAGUACGGUAGGGGCAGAGGGAAUUUCCGGUGGAGCGGUGAAAUGCGUAGAGAUCGGAAAGAACACCAACGGCGAAGGCGACUUACUGGACACAUAUUGACGCUGAGGUGCGAAAGCGUGGGGAGCAAACAGG